AAGAGAGGUUGCCCUUCGGGGUAUACCUCCCACCCUUUGUUUAUUAUACCUUUGUUGCUUUGGCGGGCCUGUCCUCGGACCACCGGCUUCUGCUGGUCAGUGCCCAGCCAGAGGACCUAAAACUCUGUUUGUUAAUAUUGUCUGAGUACUAUAUAAUAGUUA
rnacentral:misc_RNA from 1 species